rnacentral:rRNA from 1 species
UACGAAGGGUGCAAGCGUUAAUCGGAAUUACUGGGCGUAAAGCGCGCGUAGGUGGUUCAGCAAGUUGGAUGUGAAAGCCCUGGGCUCAACCUGGGAACUGCAUCCAAAACUACUGAGCUAGAGUACGGUAGAGGGUAGUGGAAUUUCCUGUGUAGCGGUGAAAUGCGUAGAUAUAGGAAGGAACACCAACGGCGAAAGCAAAACCCUAAACAACGUCUGACGCUCAUGCACGAAGGCUGGGGAAGCAAACGGGAUUAGAAACCCCAGUAGU